rnacentral:rRNA from 1 species
UGCGUAGGUGGUAUGGCAAGUCAGAAGUGAAAACCCAGGGCUUAACUCUGGGACUGCUUUUGAAACUGUCAGACUGGAGUGCAGGAGAGGUAAGCGGAAUUCCUAGUGUAGCGGUGAAAUGCGUAGAUAUUAGGAGGAACAUCAGUGGCGAAGGCGGCUUACUGGACUGAAACUGACACUGAGGCACGAAAGUGUGGGAGCAAACA